rnacentral:rRNA from 1 species
UACGUAGGCAGCGAGCGUUGUUCGGAGUUACUGGGCGUAAAGGGUGUGUAGGCGGUCCUCCAAGUUUGGUGUGAAAUCUCCCGGCUCAACCGGGAGGGUGCGCCGAAAACUGGGGGGCUAGAGUGCGGGAGGGGAGAGUGGAAUUCCUGGUGUAGCAGUGAAAUGCGUAGAUAUCAGGAGGAACACCGGUGGUGUAGACGGCUCUCUGGACCGUAACUGACGCUGAGACACGAAAGCGUGGGUAGCAAACAGG